GUGCCAGCAGCCGCGGUAAGACAGGGGUCUCGAGCGUUAAUCGGAAUCACUGGGCUUAAAGGGUGCGUAGGCGGGCCUGUAAGUGUCCUGUGAAAUCCCCCGGCUCAACCGGGGAACUGCGGGGCAUACUGCGGGUCUUGAGGAAGGUAGGCGCCGAGGGAACAGUAGGUGGAGCGGUGAAAUGCGUAGAUAUCUACUGGAACGCCGAUGGUGAAGACGCUCGGCUGGGCCUUUCCUGACGCUGAGGCACGAAAGCGUGGGGAGCAAACAGGAUUAGAUACCCCAGUAGUCC
rnacentral:rRNA from 1 species